CACCUCCGCCCACACAGCUAAACACCCCCUCCACGAACUCACGACGCGGAUGGGACGGCGGAGGACCCAGCGAGCAUGCGCGACCAUCCCGAGCAUGCUCAGUAGCGCGCGCGGCGCCCCGAAGCUCCGGCCCAGAGCUGUGGCCGACGCGGAGGUUUCGGCGGCUUCUGCGGCAGUGACGGGAAGUGAGGUGGUCCGGCUGGGCAACCGCGGCGGCAGAAACAGAGGCGGAAGGGUCGCUGCGGCGACGACGUCGUCGACCCGGGUGACCGAGGGGGCUGAGCGCCGAGGGCACUCGCCCGCUCGGAAGCCGGAUCCCGAGCCGGGCAGGAUGGAUCAUCACCAGCCGGGGACUGGCCGCUACCAGGUGCUUCACAAUGAAGAGGAUAAUUCAGAAUCAUCUGCUGUAGAGCAGCCGUCAACUUCAAACCCAACACCACAAAAUGUGCAGGCUGCUCCUUCAGCAUCUGGACUUGAGACUGACUCUUCUCCUCCACCUUAUAGCAGUAUUACUGUGGAAGUACCUACAACUUCAGAUACAGAAGUUUACAGUGAGUUUUAUCCUGUGCCACCUCCUUACAGUGUUGCUACCUCUCUUCCUACGUAUGAUGAAGCUGAGAAGGCCAAAGCUGCUGCAAUGGCAGCUGCAGCAGCAGAAACAUCUCAAAGAAUUCAAGAGGAAGAGUGUCCAACAAGAGAUGACUUCAGUGAUGCAGACCAGCUCAGAGUGGGUAAUGAUGGGAUUUUCAUGCUGGCGUUUUUCAUGGCAUUUAUUUUCAACUGGCUUGGAUUUUGUUUAUCUUUCUGUAUCACCAAUACCAUAGCUGGAAGGUAUGGUGCCAUCUGUGGAUUUGGCCUUUCACUGAUCAAAUGGAUCCUUAUCGUCAGAUUUUCUGAUUAUUUUACUGGAUAUUUCAAUGGACAGUAUUGGCUUUGGUGGAUAUUUCUUGUACUUGGCCUGCUUCUUUUCUUCAGAGGAUUUGUUAAUUAUUUAAAAGUCAGAAACAUGUCUGAAAGCAUGGCAGCUGCUCAUAGAACAAGGUAUUUCUUCUUAUUAUAGAGCUUUACCAGAAGCAUAGUGAGAUCAGCAAGUACAACAAAAGUUUGCCCAAAGCUCAGAAGAAAUCUGGAGGACUCAGAAUGUGAAAAGUAACAAAUAACCUUGUUGGAAAAAUGAACUCUUCAGAGGAGAACUGCUCAGGCCAUCAGAAGCCACCAACGUGAAAAAGAAGUUACAAGUCUUGCACGCCCACAGGGUUACUGACCAUCCCAGCUCCUUGCACCUGGUUUAUUGAUUGUCAAUCAAGUCAUUGCAACAGCAGUGUGAAAGCAGUGGGUUUACAUCUGCUUUACCCUGCCCCUUCAUUCUCUUCAUCUUCCAGUUGGGAGCCCCACAGAGUGACGAACGUCUCAACAAUUGCUUCUAGAGCUGGGCUUAGUGGAAAUGUCAACAGCAACAAUUUAACCACUGUCUCAAAGAUCAUUCAAUGCUACCCACACUGUCCAUCAACAAAACCUUGCCAGGGGAAGCAGGUGCCAUUUUCAAAUCUCUGCUUGGUAAAACAACAAAUGGAAAUGGCCAGCUGAAAUAGGCACUCCCCUUUACAGUGAUCCAGCUCCCAAAUGCGUGAUCUUGGUUUUUAUUUUUAGAAAUGAAAGUAAGUCUGAUUCUUCUUUUGAGUCAGGAGGGUUCUAGGUAAAGACACUGCUGCUCAUGCCGGCCUAAAGAAAACCCACAGUCUCCACUCUCACCUGCCCUGGUUCUGCCCUCCGGUCUAGUGCGAGGUGAAGGACCCUGAGCUUCACGGGUUGUCCACACCAGGAAAGCCUUGCACAGAUGCCUCCCCAUAGUGGGUUUGCAGUGAUUACUGCGGAUUUGAGUGCUGCCUCAUGCUCCCCCUUAAUAUUAAUCAGAAAUACAUUUUUCCCCACCCCAAAUUCUCUUCCCCAGACAAAAAUAAUUUUUACCAGAGAAAAGUUAAAGCAGUAAGAUAUAAAGAAGCCCUACAGAGAUAAAUACCUCUUGCCUGCCCAGGGUCCAGAUUCUGAAACUGACCACACUCUCAACUCUGGGUAGGAAAACCCUGGGACUGUUCACACCUCCUUGUUAACAGUGAUGACCUCUUCCCUUCCUUUCUCUCCCCCUGUCUCUUCUUUGUUCUUAACCUCCCUGACUUCCUGCCCUUUCUUCCUUGCCCCCUCCUCUCUCUCUUACCAUUUCUUGGCUAACACAAACCUAGUUUAUCAUUGUCUGAAUAUAAAAUAUUCUGCAAGAGAAAUUACUUGUAAUGUGAGCUUCAUCCUGUGUAUUAACUUCAGCCAUUCAUCUACAGUUGGAAAAUCUCUGGGUCCUCAAAUUC